GACGAACGCUGGCGGCGUGCUUAACACAUGCAAGUCGAACGGUGAAGGGAGCUUGCUCCUGGAUCAGUGGCGAACGGGUGAGUAACACGUGAGCAACCUACCCUUGACUCUGGGAUAACAGUUGGAAACAGCUGCUAAUACCGGAUAUGACCCUGGCAGACAUCUGCUGGGGUGGAAAGCUCCGACGGUCAAGGAUGGGCUCGCGGCCUAUCAGCUUGUUGGUGAGGUAACGGCUCACCAAGGCGACGACGGGUAGCCGGCCUGAGAGGGGCGACGGGCCAACGACUGGGACUGAGAUACGGCCCAGACUCCUACGGGAGGCAGCAGUGGGGAAUAUUGCACAAUGGGCGAAAGCCUGAUGCAGCAACGCCGCGUGCGGGAUGACGGCCUCGGUUGUAACGACUUCUAGCAGGACGAAGGUUUACGUUGUACGGUACCGUCGCGAGAAGAAGACACCGGCGUAACUAACGUGCCACGCAGCCGCGGUAAUCACGAG
rnacentral:rRNA from 1 species